AACGGUAGCAGGUCUUCGGAUGCUGACGAGUGGCGGACGGGUGAGUAACGCGUAGGAAUCUGCCUUGUAGUGGGGGACAACUUGUGGAAACGCAAGCUAAUACCGCAUACGCCCUAAGGGGGAAAGCGGGGGAUCUUCGGACCUCGCGCUAUAAGAUGAGCCUGCGUUAGAUUAGCUAGUUGGUGGGGUAAAGGCCUACCAAGGCGACGAUCUAUAGCUGGUCUGAGAGGACGAUCAGCCACACUGGGACUGAGACACGGCCCAGACUCCUACGGGAGGCAGCAGUGGGGAAUAUUGGACAAUGGGCGAAAGCCUGAUCCAGCAAUACCGCGUGUGUGAAGAAGGCCUGAGGGUUGUAAAGCACUUUCAAUGAGGAGGAAAACCUAUAAGCCAAUACCUUAUAGCUUGACAUUACUCAUACAAGAAGCACCGGCUAACUCCGUGCCAGCAGCCGCGGUAAUACGGAGG
rnacentral:rRNA from 1 species